CAAACCCCCACCGUUAAGCUGCACUCUCCCGGCAUCCCACUACCUAUACAUCCUUCACUAUCCGCCUCGGCGCGUUGGCUUCCUCGCGGUCACGAUGUCUGAGCUGCUGUAUGCCGUGGUUAACGGCGCGUACCUCUUCCUUGUGCUGCAACUUCUUUUUCUGCUGGUAGUCGUGUGGCAGAACGUUGUUGCAGCGAGUCUUCUGUUUUUAUUCGUGUCCCUCUCCUGUCUGGAGGCAGUGCGCUGGGGCGCGCUGGAGUCGGGGAAGCAGCAAAACCAGUCUCUGAAUGCUGAGGUCGUGGUCGUUAGUCCCUCAACCGCAGAGUUAAGCCGAAGAGAGAACGACGGCGGUACAGAGGUGUUUGUGUCAGCGCUGUACGCCACACACGAGCCGCCUGCGCUCGACGGCUGUCGUGCAUCUUGUUACCGCUGCACACCACCGCCGCCACGCGAAGAGCGCAGUUCUGUCGCGAUCGCGAGCUGGAUGGGGUGCGACGGUGACCUUGCGUCGCCUGGCAUGGGCCCUCCGAGUACGAGUCGUGAACGCGAGCCCUGCAGAGAUGCGGGCAACGUCUCUUCGGGUCCGUACUCUCCCAUUCAAAACGGCGCCGACGACACACUCAUCUACUUCCCCACCGCAUCGGACGGGCCGAACACGGAGAGGCUAAUCGCAGAGAACGUGCGCACUCAAGGUGAUCAAGACGACGCACAAGCGGAGAUGCAGCACGGGCAACGUGGCGCACCGGUGUCCCAGUCUCAGAUGCGCGUGCAGUCCUUCUACCCAGCACCGCGCAGCGGGUGGGUGUUUGCAACAGCAAUCAUCAGCCUCGCCACUGUGUGCACGUCGGUCGUCCUUUUCGGGCUUCUCUACUCGUCCGUGCAAGUCGAUUCGUCCCUCGCUGGCGCUGUCCUGCCUGGAUGGGCCACCACACCAGCGGCCAAGUUGCUCCUUACCGUUUGUGUGGGCAUCCAAGUGGACAGCUCAAAUCCAAAGCUGCGUUUUUGUGGGGCGACUGCUUGCCUCUCCGUCGUGAGCUUGACGAGCUGGUGCUUGCUUCUCUGCCGAGCUCUGGGUCGGUGCGUGCAAGGGGCUCCCAAAGCGGCGUCUUCGGUCGUGGCUGGUGCGCGUGUGACGGCCACCUCCAGGUGGUCACGCGUGCGAGUCGGGUGGAACACGGCACUGCGACUCUUCGCUGGCGUUGUCACGUCUGCGCCCUACUCCUUGGGGUGGGUGGGUGCAGCGGGUGUCGGACAAGGGACCGCGUUGGGGCUGCUUUCUCUGGCUGUGGUGAUGAUGGUGCUGCUUCUCUCCUCGAGCGUUGGGCAGUUGCAAAGACAGCGCGUGGGCCACCCCCGUCAACGGUUGUGGGUCCCCUACACCUGCAUGCUGCUGUGUCUUUGGGAAGUGCAGAUGAUCGUUCUGCUGCCACCAGUGCAAAACUCACUCAAAGCCACAAGUGUGUGGGCCAGGCACGGCCGCUGGCUCGCUGCUGUCGGCGCAGUGCCAGCAGCGUCCCAGAGCUCGAUGCUCCGCUGGCGUAUCGUUCAGGCCAUUGGACUGUGGUGGGCCGGGACAGAGUUUGUCUGCUACCGCACCGCCGCCCCCGCGACUUCUCAGGUGACGUCCUUCAAAGGCGGGCAGAAGCUGCGAGCGCUUCUUUUGCGAGGACUUGCGCAGAGGGAUGAAAAUCAGUGGUCACGCGCCGUCAACCAGCAGCGCGCGGCGCACUGCAAGCUGCAGCAGCUUCGCCUUGAGCGAGACGCCUAUCUUCAUAGACCUUCUCGAGCAGGUAGCAACCAUUGGUGGCGACACGCCCAACGCGACGGGUCGCACAGAAGCGUGCAUGCGCCGUUUGGCAGCAACGUCAGCCACUGUUGCUGGCUGUGCAGAGAUGGCCCACAGCACCUACCGACCUCCGUCGGUGGCGGCCGCCGCGACGGGCACGAGUGCAACCCGACCCUCUUCCACAAUGGGCCUGCCCCUUCCAGCGCUGCAGGGGUGCACGUGCACGACACUCGUUGGACCGCUGCUGCAGUGGGAAGCAGUUCGCUCUACUCGAACACCUCCGUGUACGACUGCCUCGCGGGGAUGCGUGCGUCGUGGCAGUACUCCGAGAACGCCUCAGCGCAGCCGAGCCCGGCGAGCGCGGAAAGCGACUCCGCAGCGGUUCUGAUCACCACGACCACAGCCGUGGUGCUGAGCGAAAGCGCGGCCGAACCGCUGAAACGCCACGAUCCCGAGGUGGAGCCUUCGCUGUACAUGUGGCAGGGGUGGGCCCGGGCGCCAACACGAAGUCCGUGUAGAGACGAAGGGGACGGAGACGAGGAUGACAAUGACGUCCGCCAUAGCAGCUGUGGGGCAUGCAGCAAUGGAGAGCACCGCGCGUAUUGGUGGGGCCCGCCUCCGUCACACUCGAGUGCGCACUCCCCUUGCACCUUUUCUGUUACCACGUCGGGCCCCCGCACGGGUCACUCGCGGUUGCACGGGGCCGCUUACGCGAAUGCCACGCCGCGUCAGGACGAAAGUGGCGGCGGUUGCUCCAGCGCACGGUGGCCAUCGAUGAUCCAUGGCACAUCAGUCGACAUAUCUGCGGUCGACCAUGCAUCGUCAUUCGCGGAAGAAGCUGCGCAUCAUCGUCCAUCCGUGUGGCCGGAAGAUUCGGCACGUCCGGAGGAGGUGCGAGCUGAGCACGCUCCGGUGUCGCUGUCGAUGGUUGGCGCUGAGGAAACGCCAAGGGCCGCCGACGUCCGACCCCCUGCGUCGUCCCUGCUGGCGCGUCUACGCGGCAGAGCCCGAUGGGUUGCACACAAAGUGGUAGAGCUGCUCCGUGACUACCUGCGGCGCCAUACAGUCCCCCUUCCAGCAGAAGUGGAGAAUUCGGCAACCGAGUGCCCAGCCGGUCCACGAACCGACGCAGCGCAUCCUCAGCGGCAACGACGCCGCCAGCCGAUGGAGAAAGCGGUCGAGUGCACGCAACCAGCCUUUGCAUCAGCAGCAUCACUCACGACUGCGGAAGGUAUCACGUCACCGCCGGGCAUCUGUUUGGGCGCACCUUCUUCCGCCGUUUCGCGCCGUGAGGUCGUGCACCUGCCCUCUCUAUGGAGGCUUCUGGAGCUAUACGCAGUGCAGUACUGGUCGUCUCUGUGCGCGCUGCUCAUGCUGAGCCAAUUCGCGGUGUGCGGCACUGUCGUCAAUCUUGCGCCGUCGUUUUCGAGCAUCGUGUACGCGCUGCUGCAGAGACCCUGGCCACCAUUAUGGUACUGGCGCUUGCAGAUGCUCUUCUCCGUCUUGGCCUUACUCGCUAAGGGCACUGCGCGUGUCUACCUCCUCGCCAUGGGGCCAUCUGUGAGCCUGGCCACCUGUCGUUGGCUUAGCGUGCUGCUUCUACGCGUCGACGUGGGCGCGCCAUCCGCUCUGGUGGCGUCACUGCCGUCACCGUCGCCCUCCGCCAUGUUCGGCAGCGAAUCUCACCGCGAUAUGUGGGUGGAUCUUGUGUUGAGUGGGUGCGUCGUGACGGCUGUUGCUAUCCAGUGGGCGGUCGUCUACCCGGACCACUGCGUAUUCGGGAAUUGCAAAGGCGAGCCUGACACAACGGCAAGCGUUUCGGCGGCCGCCUUCGCUUCAUUAGAGCCCACCGGGUCACCCACUCGCGAAGCGCGUCAGGACAAGCCGCACCGGGGCGUCGCGGAGCUGUGGGGAAGCUGCAAGCUUCAUCUGCACUGCUGGAGCGUGCACCGCUGCGGCGCUGGUGCCGAUUAUUACGCGGCGCAACUCUUCUUUGACGGCCUCUCGCUCGCGCUUUUUGGCUGGGCCUACUACGCCAUUGUGCCAGAGGACACCGCCACCUCUGAAGGCAACCUUCUCCACGCCGUUCAGCAGAACCACCUGCCAGGCAUCUUUGUGGCCACCGCGCUGGGGCUCGUCGUUGUCCUCUUCCUGGAGCGCAUCCUCUACGUGCUGCACGCCCUUUUCGCCAAGUACGUGCUGCACUUCUUCUUGGCGGCUGUCUACCACGUGCUCUAUGUGCUCUGGCGCACCGCGCAGGAAAGCAAGGGAGGCAGCGGUGCCACCGCCUCAGCCGCCACCACGGCAUCGGUAUCUCUGCUGCUCUCUGCGAAGCUCGCCUCUCUUUGGUGUGGAGCGCUGCAGCUGCGACACGGCUACGCACUGCAUCACCUGCAUGAUCCCUUCACGAUCAAGACGGACCUGCUUCAUUGGUUGGGCCACGUGUCGUUUCGCGCUGUGCCGUUCCUAAUGGAGCUGCGUGUAAUGCUGGACUGGUCGUUCAGUGCAACAACGUUGAAAGUGCAGCAUUGGAUGCUCCUAGAGGACAUCCACCACACGGUGUAUCGGCGCUACGUCGACAUGCACGACCUGUACCACACAAGUCGUUACCACGGGCGUCACUUUCCAUACCUGGUCCGCCUCUACCAAGGCGUUCUCGGAUUCACCGUCAUUCUGUUCGUGCUCUUCUUUCCUCUGUUUUGGUACUCGACGUUUAGCCCGCAAGUGCGCGCGAGCCACGUCACGGCCUGGGCGACAGAGGUGGCCCUCGCUAGGAUGUCUUCUUUGCCGCUGUUUAGCGCCGACGCCGCAGUACGUCCGUCCAGCUUUCACGCAGCAGCAACGCUUUCGUUGGGUGACGCCAGCGUGGGAGCCGCGGGCCUCUUGCGUUUUGCCGCCGUCACGGACACUUGGCAGACGGUGCAUGUCGCGUCGUGCAGCAUCCGGAUGUGGUCCUAUACACCAGCAGCUCUGCAGGAGCUUGUCGAUCUGCUUGGCAAACGAACUGAGGUGGUUACUCUUCUUGUGCGUCACCGCGUCACUCGCGACCGUGCGAGUGACGCCACAAUGACCACGGUUGGCCUCGAGGAGUCGUACGCGCUGCCGCCCACCUCGCAGGCUCUUCUCGCCGAGGCGCUCAAGGCGUGGCGCGCAAUGGAUGACGCUGGCUCAGCUGGCACGGCAGAAUACUCAGCAAGCGCGUGGGAUCCUGUUGUAGUCCCACUGCCGCUCCUGUACUCGCCGUAUGUGCUGAGUUAUGGAACGGGUGUCUCAUUCCUGUCAGGCGCAACCAUGCGAAGGGCGAACUGCUCAUUGACACUACACCGCAUGGGGCGAUACCGCGGGUUCAGCUGUGUAAAGUGUGCCGAGGGUGACCAAAGCAGCCCUGCAGCAUCCACCUUCGCCGCUGCUACGGCCGCCGAUCCCGCAGGCUCAUCGCAGAUCGCGUCAGGAGCGGAGAUUCACGAAAUGUCAACCCCGCUGACGUUUGUGGUUGCGUCCAACCACGUGGCGAUCGUGCAAAGCAGUUUCUCGCUGAUCCCCAACGUCGGCGUCAUCGCCCUCUACACGAGCUUUGUUUUGGUGAUGAGCAGCUACAUCCGCGGCUGUUUUGCCGGCGACGCGCACCGAGUCGUGCUCCUGCAGCUGGCCAAUCCCGAGCCAGUAACGGAGCUGCUGCGCUACCUGUACCUCGCCCGCUCCUCCGCCAACGACGGACAAGUAGGUGACUUGGCCCUGGAGCAGCUUCUCUUCGUGGAGCUUCUCGACCUUCUCCGCUCACCGGAGCGCUUACUGCGACUGGGUGGCCGUCGCGUCGACGACUACGCAUAUUCAACGUACCGACAAGCGCUCUACGACGCAACGAGGCGGCCGUUUGCGCCUCCGGAUGAGGGAAGGGGUUAAGUGGACACGUCUUGUAAAUGUGCCGCCCUCUUUCCUUUGUUUCUUGGUCGCGCCAUGGGCGGUGCUGCGCUGCGGCAUCCCAUUGUGGAACGGCGCAGCAUCCUUGGUCUCGCGCGCGCGUGCGGCGUGCUCGGGUGCCGCUCUUGAGCACGGAGUCUGCGUGCAUGGUUGCUUGUGGACCCUUUUCUCUGUGCAUGCGCGUGGUUUUGUUUUCACCACGUCGCUUACAGCACAUCAGCAACGCGAAUAUGACAAGACAGACACUAACACAGAUGCAUACAUGUAUAUGCGCAAGCACUGUGAAGGUCCUUGCGGAGAGGCCUCUGCAUCACUCUUGUCCGCGUUUCUAGUGUUCUUUCCGCGUGUACGCUUGCUCACAUGUGUUGCUGUGGAGUCUGUGUGUGUGUGUGUGUGUUACUGUUACCGCUGUCUCCCCCUCCCCCCCCCUCCUCUCCUUUCCUUCCCUCCCACCGUCUAUAUUCGCCUCGUUCCCUUUUCUUUUCGUUUUUGUUCGUUUCUUUCGUUGUUGUUCAAGCAUGUCUGUAUGAACUUGAUCGGCUCAUUGGCUUCCCUCUCUUCGACGUCUUCUAUCCUGUUCCCUCUCCCUCACUCUGUACCCGCCCACCCACCCAUCCCCCCCCCACUGCCACGCCGUUUGUACUCUCCUUCCUUUUACUUCGCUCUACCUGUACGCGGUUGGGUCCCCUUUUUUUUUUCAUAGCCUCCCCCCCCCCCUUCAUGCCACUGCUAUCUCCUUAUCCUUCUCUAACCUCCUCCUUUGUGCCUUGCUUGCACCCUAUGCCACACGCUCGCCAACACACACAUCUACACGCAUCGCUCGUGCGCGCAUGGGCCCGUGACGGAUCGCCCGCUGUGUUUCUUUCCACCGUACACGCAUCCUCGCUGCUCGCAUGCCAGACGCAUGCGUCGUUGUUCCCCUUCCAUCUUUUCUUGUGUGUGGGUGCGCAUGUGUAUUCUUUGCUUUCUCCAGCGCUUCCACUCUCUUGACUUGCUCUCUCUAUAUAUAUAGAUAUUGGUAUGGCACCAUUCUUCGACUUCACGUGUGGUGGUGGCGCUCACUACUUGAGCGAAGUGGGGCUCAUCUGCCUUUUUUCUCGCCCCUGUCGACCCCUUGACUGCGAUCAAGCAAACUCACGUACACAACCGCCUAUGGCGGACGUGACGCAAAACACCUUUGCUUUCAUAUGUGUGUGUGUGCUUUUC
rnacentral:misc_RNA from 1 species